CACGGAGUUAGCCGAUGCUUAUUCAUAUAGUACCGUCAUCAGAGUACACGUACUCCUUAUUCUCCCUAUAUAAAAGCAGUUUACAACCCAUAAGGCAUUCUUCCUGCACGCGGCAUGGCUGGUUCAGUCUUCCGACCAUUGACCAAUAUUCCUCACUGCUGCCUCCCGUAGGAGUCUGGUCCCUGUCUCAGUACCAGUGUGGGGGAUCUCCCUCUCAGGACCCCUACCUAUCGUAGCCUUGGGUGCCGUUACCACUCCAACUAGCUAAUAGGACGCAUGCCCAUCUUCUACCGCCUCAGCUUUAAUUAUCAAACGAUGUCGUACAAUAAUAUUAUGGGGUAUUAAUCAAAUUUCUUCGGGCUAUCCCCCUGUAAAACGGUAGGUUGCAUACGCGUUACGCACCCGUGCGCCGGUUUCUGCCCCGAAAAGGCUUCUCCCCUCGACUUGCCAUGUGUUAGGCCUGCCGCUAGCGUUCAUCCUGAGCCAGGCUACAAACGUCU
rnacentral:rRNA from 1 species